UACAGAGGUCCCGAGCGUUGUUCGGAUUCACUGGGCGUAAAGGGUGCGUAGGUGGCGAGGUAAGUCGGAUGUGAAAGCUCGGAGCUCAACUCCGAAAUGGCAUUGGAAACUACCUUGGCUCGAGGGGUUGGAGGGGGGACUGGAAUUCUCGGUGUAGCAGUGAAAUGCGUAGAUAGUCGAGAGGAACACCAGUGGCGAAGGCGAGUCUCUGGACGACUCCUGACGACUGAGGCACGGAAAGCGAUGGGGAGCAAACAGG
rnacentral:rRNA from 1 species